GCUUUUGUACACACCGCCCGUCGCUACUACCGAUUGAACGAUUUAGUGAGGUCUUCGGACUGGUACGCGGCAUCGACUCCGUCGUUGCCGAUGUUACCGGAAAGAUGACCAAACUUGAUUAUUUAGAGGAAGUAAAAGUCGUAACAAGGUUUCCGUAGGUGAACCUGCGGAAGGAUCAUUA
rnacentral:rRNA from 1 species